rnacentral:tRNA from 1 species
ACUUGUAUAGUUUAAGGGCUCAGAAUAUUAAUCUUCAAAAUUAAAGAUACAGGUUCGAAUCCUGUUACGGCCG